GACUCAUCACUUGAUUUUGAGUCUAGUACUUCUCUAUACCCAGUAUGAAUGGAAGCUCUUGACGUCUGCUUAUCAAGAAUAUUAUCAUGCUUCUCUUGAUCUCGGAAAUACUCAUUUACACAACCUGCAAUUUUUCUUUGUGCAGCUGUGGAGGUCCUCUCCCGACCAGUUUGGCAAUACGAAGAGGCUCAUAAAUAGGCAUAUGGCACACCCUAUAGCAAUUGUACUCAAGCGAUCUCGUGCUAAAGGCAGUAUGUUCUCUUGGCGGAAGCUUGAGACCGUUAUCAGAUUGAAGGAAUCCUGCUGAUCUUCUUCACUCUCUCAGGAAGCAUCAGCAAGCUGUUCUUGUUGUUGCUGCUGGGAUCUACAGCACAAGCCAUUCUUGCAGCCUGGGGCUGAAGAUGAAUGCUCAGGUUCCUUGAAAGAUGGCAAUGCUACCAACCAUAAGUGUAGGUGUCCCAAAUAUCAGGAAGGGAGAGGACGCCACCUUCCUCCCGUUUGUUGAGCAACUCGCCGAAUCACAGGACGAUACGCACUUCUCCUUUUCCUGACGCUGAUACGUGGUGAUGGCGGCCUUGACUUUGCACUGGACCAUCGGCUGAAUGAGUUCACGUGAAGAGGAAGUUGGGAAAGGCCCCGGCCUCGGCAAGCUGCUCGUGUGCGCGCCUUGAUUGGACGACAAUGGCCGGCUCGUCCGGUCCCGGUCCGGCGGUGGUGGAGAGCGACAUGUGCGGAUGGCCGCUUGAGGUUGUAGUGUAGGGCGAAGGUCACGGUUGUCGCCGGGUUCAGAUUGGUCGUGCGGCCGCGUUGCCAGCUGCGGUGAUGCUCUGCCGUCGGAUUUCUUUUUGCCGUCCGGUGGUCGACACCUUGCCAGGCGAGGGCACACCUGUGAACUGGUUGGUGGCCUUGUGUCAAACCCGCACUUGAAAUGCACGGCUGGUGCUGGACUUUGGGUUCGUUCGCAUUGAUCACAACUAAUUUCGGUAUAAUUUUGUUUUUUUGUCGCUAAGCCUUUGUAUCAUUGCGUGAUUUCUAAAACAAAACUUCUGUUUUUUUACUAGUGAUAGCAACAACUAUUUUUUCUCUUGUUA